rnacentral:tRNA from 1 species
ACUUGGCUGGCUCAGUUGAAGAGCAUGAGACUCUUGAUUUCAGAGUUAUGGGUUUGAACCCCGUGUUGGGUG